UGUUCCUGGAGCCGCUAGUGGGUCGUCCGCCCUUUUUGUGCCUGCACCAUGCCUCGUUCCCGUGCCCGAGCUGCCCGAAUCCAUGACAAAUAGAAGCAAUCUAAGUGGACAGCGAAGAACCUGGCAGCAAGUAAAAACUAAAUAUAAAAAUAUCUUCCAUAAUGCUGCCAAGAAAGAGGCAGGCAACUGCUACUGGUGGGGGGCCUCCACCUGAAGACCUCACACCAGCAGAGGAGCUGGCACUGAGCCUUAAUCGAGGUCGGCCUCAGAUGGAGGGAAUAGAACGUGUGGUAUCAAGAGAUCAUCCCCUCAGGUGUCCGGGAGAAAUAUGUACAAGUUUAAUGGCCCCAGUACAUCCUGGGCUGUUGAUGAUGAGACAAUUGGACAGAUUCAGAACAGCGACGGCAGGAGGCAGAGUUGUCAAACAGCACCACCAGCUGGUAAUGUAAUACAUUGACAUUUUUGCACCUUAAAGUAUUCCAACUUUGUUUAAAUUAGUUUGUUUUAUUUAUUUUUAUUGGGAAAGUGUCCCAAAACAAUAUUUUA